rnacentral:rRNA from 1 species
ACGCUGGCGGAAUGCUUUACACAUGCAAGUCGAACGGCAGCAUAGAGAGCUUGCUCUCUGAUGGCGAGUGGCGAACGGGUGAGUAAUAUAUCGGAACGUGCCUAGUAAUGGGGAAUAACUAGCUGAAAGGUUAGCUAAUGCCGCAUACGACCUACGGGUGAAAGCAGGGGAUCUUCGGACCUUGCGUUAUUAGAGCGGCCGAUAUCUGAUUAGCUUGUUGGUGGGGUAAUGGCCUACCAAGGCGACGAUCAGUAGCUGGUCUGAGAGGACGAUCAGCCACACUGGAACUGAGACACGGCCCAAACUCCUACGGGAGGCAGCAGUGGGGAAUCUUGCACAAUGGAGGAAACUCUGAUGCAGCGAUGCCGCGUGAGUGAAGAAGGCCCUUGGGUUGUAAAGCUCUUUCGUCGGGGAAGAAAAUGACUGUACCCGAAUAAGAAGGUCCGGCUAAC